UAAAAAAAGGGGAGCGCACCCCGACUUCCCUGGAUCACAUGGGCUGCGGGGGGCGGGAGGAUCGGGGAAGGGGGAGGCGCGGGGAGCUCGCCGCCGCUCCCCACCCGGGCCCGGGAGAAGACGCCCCCCUCCCCCUGUUCGGCCUCUCCAUUCAAGUUCGCUCGCGGUCCCCUGCCGCCGCCGGGACCUGGGGAUGGCACUCGCCGCYCGCCCUGGUCUGCGCUCAGUUUCAAGCCACCGCGCAAAAAUUUAGGUCAAGGACGUAGGGAGCAAGCCCACACCCUGGCGCUCCUCGGGCGGCUCCCGAGACCCCCCCCACCCCCCAGGAUCUGGGGGACUCCGGGAUGGCGGAGACCCUCGGGCACAAACACCAGCCACAAGUUUUAUUUUCCCUUCGCGCUGCAAGUUCGCUGGCUCGCUCGCUCUCCACACCGGCACGUCUGGUGCGGCUCCCCGCCCUUCCCCGGCGGAGGAUUAGAAGACAAUGGAAUACACUCAACACCAAAACUGCACCAAAUCUACUGUGGGUCUUUAAACGUGGAACAUUUGGAAAAACUCAACACCAGCCAAAUCCUUGGGUGUCCAGACUCUCAAUCUCCCUGUCCUCUGAAAUGGGAUAAUUCUCCCUUGACAAGAUUGAUGGGGUGGGGGUGAAGUGUUUGACGUGAACAAAAGUUAUAGAACUCUUUCUCUUUGCAAACCUAUGUGGGGUCACGUUCACAACCAAUCAUUACUUAAUCCGAUUUUAGACGGCACUUUGAGGCUUUAAAUCAUUUGCCAUUGCUCCAAGCCGAUUCUCAAAUCAUCUGGGGGUCUCAUGCAUUGAAGAGCCAGUUUUGAUGAUAAUUGUUUAUUAUUAUUCCCAAUAACAAAAUGAGGACAAUAGAGCUAAUUGGAUUGUGUUUUGGGUUUUUACAACUACCAUACUCUGAGCUAGAAAGGCCUUUCCUAAUCCAACCCCCUCAUUUUACAGAAGAUGUCAGAGAUGUUACGCUGUCAGGCCCCAUCCUUACCUCUACCAGUCAGUUACCAAGAAGGGGCCUGGUCAUCAGUUCAUGCCCUUGGCUCUGCUGCCUCAAUAUUUAUUCUCUCCUUUGCAAUGGG
rnacentral:lncRNA from 1 species